rnacentral:rRNA from 1 species
AUUGAACGCUGGCGGCAGGCCUAACACAUGCAAGUCGAGCGGAGGAAGGGAGCUUGCUCCUGGAUUCAGCGGCGGACGGGUGAGUAAUGCCUAGGAAUCUGCCUGGUAGUGGGGGAUAACGGCCGGAAACGGGCGCUAAUACCGCAUACGUCCUGAGGGAGAAAGUGGGGGAUAUUCGGACCUCACGCUAUCAGAUGAGCCUAGGUCGGAUUAGCUAGUUGGUGGGGUAAAGGCCUACCAAGGCGACGAUCCGUAACUGGUCUGAGAGGAUGAUCAGUCACACUGUAACUGAGACACGGUCCAGACUCCUACGGGAGGCAGCAGUGGGGAAUAUUGGACAAUGGGCGAAAGCCUGAUCCAGCCAUGCCGCGUGUGUGAAGAAGGUCUUCGGAUUUUAAAGCACUUUAAGUUGGGAGGACGGGCAGUAAGUUAAUACCUUGCUGUUUUGACGUUACCCACCGAAUAAGCACCGGCUAACUUCGUG